UUUCUUCUGUGGUCAAGUUCAUCACCAACUUAACCCUCUCCAUCACCAUCUCAGGAAGAAGAAAUCAAAUCCUAACUCUCUGUCACUUUUUCUCUGUUCUCCUAUUCUUCUCUCUCUAUCUCAGGGUUUCUUAGGAAAUUCUGUGAAAUCGAAAGGGAAGGAGCAGAUAUGGAAAGUCGAAGGAAACCUUUUGGAUCGGGUAACUUGUGUUGUGGGUCGGUCUUGUCAAUCAACCAUAUUUGGUUGAUUGUUCAGGAUCGUUGGAUUAGAAAAGUGCCACAUGUUGCACUCUAAAAACUCGUUGGAGGAUCGUAGGAGCAGUAGUCUUAGGAAACGAGCCAAAUCCCUUAUGUUGAUCACAUUUUUUCUAUUAAAGAUAAAAUUUGAAGUUUAAUGUUGUAUAUUCAAAUGACUGUCCAAGGGUUGUUUUGAUCAUGGUGCUUAGCAGUUUCAGUAUCAAAUUUAGAUGUGUGAGAUGAUAAAUUAGAUUAUAAAUUAUGUUGUAUGUUGUUAAUAAUGGUGUUAUUUGUAUGAUCAUUUGCUUGUCAGUGUCACAACUUCCUCCAUGUUAAGGAAGUUAGAGGUGAGACUAAAAUUUACACACCCUCACCGAUCUCUCAAACCACUUAGUACUUAUCAGAUUCUUGAUGAGGACAUCUCACCGAUCCCACAAACGGAUCUCUCAUAUAAAUAAUAACUAAAUCAAUUAGAGAGAAAGAUGGGCCUUUUUACAUUUGAAAAAUCAAUUAAAUGUUUUAAAAAGAUUUAUUUCUAAGACAACCAACCAUAUGAUGGUUCGAUGCUAAUACAUAACGGAAUUCUUACAAAAAAAAAAAAAAAAAAAAACUGAAUUAAAAGUUGAAAAUUAACACAUCAGAAUCCGAACAGUGCCAUAUAUGUGUUAACGCACUUGACCAAAAUUUGGCGGGCUGUUCAAAUGACUUUUUUUUGCACAAAAAAGAGAAUUCAAAUGACUUUUUGUCCUUUCUGUUUUAUGGGAAAAAUUGAUGGAUGCCCUAUCCAUGAACCCUCAUAAGCCAAAAGAGGAAAAAACUUCAAAGAUUAAAGAUCUAACGGUUGAUUAAAUUUCAACUUUCCUAUUUAAAGAGGGGAACUGUUGAAGCCAUGAGUAUUGUAGGGUGGCGGAGAGAGCACAGGAGAGGAGAUGGUGGCAUGGAGAGGGAGCAUAGCUUUUGGAAGUUUUGGGUAUGGGUGGACUGGCAAUGCCUUUCCAAUGCCAGCCCAUGCCUAGAGUUUCCCAUCGUUCGUUCCUUUCCUUCAGUUUCUUUUGAGGUUUAGUGUAAAGUUUGUAGAAUACUUGAAGCUAUGAGAAAUCUAAAUCGUGCAGGAGUUUCAGAUAGCAGGAAAUGGGGGAGAGAGAGCAGAGCUAUGGAAAGCUUUGGGUAUGAGUGGGUUGGAAAGGUUUUUUGUAUUGCUCUCCUUUCAACCAUACUCCACCCAUACCUUGGGCUUUCCAUUGUUCCUACCUUUCCUUCCUUUUCCUUUUUUUUUUCUCCUUCGAAAAGUUCUAUCACUAAUCCUUGUUAAUUAGAAGGGUUGAUUCCAUGCUGCAAAGCACAUUAGGAGCACUUGGGAUACUUUGCUUCUGAAUGAUGUUCUCAACAAUUUUCUGUUAGAAGCUAGAUUUUUGUUGAUGUGUUGAAAGUUUGAGUUCUCUAGCUACUUGGUUUUUCAUUAUGUGGUGAUGGCUGCAUUUUUGUUUUUGUACAAGCUUAUUGACUAUUGACUCUUGAGGAUGUUCAUGUUAAUUAUCUACUAACAGGGCUAUAUCAUGGGGAGGUAAAGAUGGUUUUCUAUACAUUGCUUCAUGGCUAUCAAGCAUCAGUAGUUUAGAAGAAAAAGAUGGCCUCCUUUUUCUGUUACAAGAUCAAAUGGUCUUUCAACUGUCAAGGCACUGCAUUUACUUGGUGCAUGUACUAUUUGUCCCUGGUUCUGUCUGGCUGUAGUGGUGAGACUGCAGAUUUAGACUCGUAUAAGUUGGGUAUUUUGUUAUCCAAUCUUUUGUAAGUUAAAUUUGUGUGUUAUUUUAUUAAUCUAUCUGGAUGUCCCAUGUAUGUUCUGUUCCAAAUAUAUUCCAAAAAAUACAGAUGCCCUACAAGUGUAUUUUGUAAAGAAGUUGUCUUGGACUGGUGUGAUCCCCCCAAAAAAAAAACUCAUUCUUUUUCUUAUGUUA